rnacentral:lncRNA from 1 species
CAGGGGACAGGAAGGGCGAUAGGGGAAAGAGGCGGGCAGAGGGGCGCGGGAAUCGUGGGUGGGAGAGAGGGUAGGGAUCGAAGGCGCGCGGGAGGGAACGGAAGAGACGGGGCGGACUACACGUAAGCCACAGUCCAUUUCAAGGUGUGUUGGGUUCCACGUAAAAUUGUGGAAAAAAAUUUUUCGGUGGAAAAAAUAUUUUACGUCGUUUAUUUUGGUUUGUAGGAAAAAAAAAAAGUUUUCCAUGCCGAUUGUUUGGUUAAAAGGAAA